GACUGCACUUUUUUUUUCUCUCUUUACAAGACUUUGUGGCUUUUUAACAACACAACAUGAUGGAGAUUUAUUUGAUUUCAUUCAUUUUAGCAAGUAUCCUCAUCAUACCGUUCGCAAUAAAAACGUUGUCCCCAUAUCUUUGGUUGGAUAUUCUGUAUUUAAAGGAUCUACUGCGGAUUUUAGUGACGUUCAUGUCGAGGAAAAGAAGGAGACCUUUCUUCUUUGUUUUGGACCGUUUCUUGGAGCAGACCUCUACACAUCCAGACAAGCCGUUCAUUGUGUUUGAAAAUGAACACUUCUCGUACUCUUACACAGAUAGAAGAAGCAGUAAAACAGCCAACGCGCUUCUGGCACAGCCUGGGUAUAAAGCUGGAGAUACCGUCGCACUUUUCAUGGGCAAUGAACCCGCCUUCAUGUUUACCUGGCUGGCCUUGGCUAAACUAGGCUCUCCUGUGGCUCUCCUCAAUCACAACAUCCGCACCAAGUCUUUGCUGCACUGCUUCAACUGCUGCAAGGCCAAAGUGCUGAUAGCAGCCUCAGAGCUAAAGGACGCAGUGGAGGAUGUGUUGCCCGACCUGACGGAGCAGGGCGUCACCGUGCUCCUGAUGACCAAACAUUCAGACACUCCUGGGAUCGAGAGUUUUUCUGAUAAAGUGGACAAAGCAUCAGACUGCCAGCUCCCUCGAUCCCUCAGAUCACACAUCACAUUCAAAAGUCCUGCCGUUUAUAUUUACACCUCGGGAACAACAGGUCUCCCCAAGGCAGCUGUGGUCAAUCAGAACCGCCUCCUAACAGCGCUGGCUGUUUUGGCUUCAAAUGGUGUGACGUCUAGCGACGUCAUCUACCUAAACCUGCCUCUGUACCACACAGCGGGAUUCAUUAUAGGCUUUAUCGGCUCUAUUGAGACAGGGUCAACUAUUAUUUUGAAGAGGAAGUUCUCUGCUUCUCAGUUUUGGGAUGACUGUAGGAAACACAGUGUGACCGUUGUGCAGUACAUAGGAGAGGUGAUGCGUUACCUCUGUAGUACACCUAAGAGAGAAAAUGAAAAGGACCAUAAAGUAAAGCUGGCUAUUGGCAAUGGUAUCAGAGCAGAGGUAUGGAGAGAGUUUCUCAAUCGAUUCGGGAACAUAGAGGUCCGCGAGUUUUACGCCUCCACCGAGGGAAAUGUGGGAUUUGUCAACUACGUGGGGAAAAUUGGAGCUAUUGGGCGAGUUAACUUUUUCCAUCAGAAACUGUUUCCCUUCACUCUGAUAAAGUAUGACACCGAGCGUGAUGAACCAAUCAGAGAUGCUAACGGCCUCUGUGUGGAGUCACCCAAAGGUGAGACAGGACUGCUGGUGUCAAAGAUUACAGACAUUGCUCCUUUCGUCGGCUACGCCCAGAACGAAGAACAAACAGAGAGAAAGAAACUUCAUAAUGUUCUCAAGAAGGGAGAUCUUUACUUCAACAGUGGAGACCUCAUGAGGAUUGAUAAAGACAACUUCAUCUACUUCCAGGAUCGUGUAGGUGACACAUUCAGGUGGAAAGGUGAGAAUGUGGCCACAAACGAAGUGUCUGACAUUCUGACGAUCAGCGAUUGUCUCAAAGAAGCCAAUGUGUAUGGAGUCCAAGUGCCAGGUGACGGCUGUUUCCUCCGCACAUUUGACCUGACUGGCAUGAGGGGCGGAUAGGAAUGGCAGCGGUCACUGUGAAGGAAGGCUCCCAGUUUGAUGGAAGUAGUAUAUAUAACCAUGUGGUAAGCUACCUGCCUUCCUAUGCCCGACCUCGCUUCAUAAGAAUACAGAAUGCCGUGGAGGUGACAGGGACAUUCAAGCAGAUGAAGGUGAAGUUAGUGGAGGAGAGCUUUGAUCCAGGACGUAUCCAGGACCCUCUUUACAUCCUUGACAAUGAAGAGAAGAGUUACAUACCGCUGACAGAUCAGGUCUACGGCUCCAUCAUAUCAGGAAACAUCAAACUAUGAGAAGGCUCUCAGUGUCCACUAACUGUGCAGGCUUCUCAGUCGUGCAUUAACAUAUUUUUUAAAAGUAGUAAUUGGGUAAUCAGUAGUGUAGGAUUUGUUGUUAAGGAUUCCUUUUAGGGGCUGGAGUCAGCCUGUAAGUGAGGGAGUGAUUAUUUAUUAUUAUAUUAUAUUUUACAAGCUGGUUGACUGCUUUCAAAUAUGAGGACUGCGGUUUUGAGUUUUUCAGUGUUAUAAUGGUGUUGAGAUGUGUUGCUGUAUGUUUGGAUAAACAGUGUAAACAAACGAUCUCCAUAGGUAGAUAUUUAUGUGCGAAUAUAUGUUAAUAUUAAUUACUUUGAUUCUUAUUAUAUAGCCAGAAAUACUUUUCAUGUGCACGUCUGCUCAGUUUUUACUCAUCAUAGAGAAUACAAAGAUAUAUCGCAGUAGUGAUGUACAUGGAAAAACCACAAGGUGGAGACAAAUGCAAACUCUGUGCUCAGUGUAGUCGGGGAAUACAGUGAGCACAUAUAAUUUAACAUGGACAGUGCACUCGAAAAAGUCUUAACAUUCCAAACACAUGAAGAUGAAUCUGCAUGUUAUUGUCUAAAAUAACCACUAUAGUUUAUCUUAUGUGGAUCAACCAAGGGGUCCAACCAUGAUAAACAGAAGUACACAGAAUAAUACAGACAGCGCUGUCUACACACAUUUUUCCAUGUAUGCUCUUUGUGAACAUAUACUGAUCUAGAUGGCAUAUCUGUUAACCCCUGCAAAAAAGUUCAUGACUAAAAAACAGAGAUGCACAUUUCUUUCAGGGAGACCAAGUCCGGCAGGUACGGCUCAUACUUUCAAUAUUUAUACUUUGUAAUCAGUUAAAUGCCAUUUCAAACCAAAUCUUGUCUACCAACAUAACAUGUAAAUCAUCUAUGUAGGCAACAUAAAUCACCAGAAGAGACUGCUCUUGUGUUGGAGUACUGUGAGUUUCGCACCCAACCAACCUGUUGUCACAAAUAAAUGUUUCUUCGGGUGUU